GAAGAACCUUACCAGGUCUUGACAUACUCGUGCUAUUCCUAGAGAUAGGAAGUUCCUUCGGGACACGGGAUACAGGUGGUGCAUGGUUGUCGUCAGCCCGUGUCGUGAGAUGUUGGGUUAAGUCCGCAACGAGCGCAACCCCUAUUGUUAGUUGCCAUCAUUAAGUUGGGCACUCUAACGAGACUGCCGGUGAUAAACCGGAGGAAGGUGGGGAUGACGUCAAAUCAUCAUGCCCCUUAUGACCUGGGCUACACACGUGCUACAAUGGAUGGUACAACGAGUCGCGAGACAGUGAUGUUUAGCUAAUCUCUUAAAACCAUUCUCAGUUCGGAUUGUAGGCUGCAACUCGCCUACAUGAAGUCGGAAUCGCUAGUAAUCGCGGAUCAGCACGCCGCGGUGAAUACGUUCCCGGGCCUUGUACACACCGCCCGUCACACCACGGGAGUUGGGAGUACCCGAAGUAGGUUGCCUAACCGCAAGGAGGGCGCUUCCUAAGGUAAGACCGAUGACUGGGGUGAAGUCGUAACAAGGUAGGCGUAGCGAG
rnacentral:rRNA from 1 species